GUGGUAAGUUCCCAGCUCAUGCUCUUGGCAACUGGAGACACAAUUCUCUUUGCUCCUUCUCUCUCCCUUCACUUCUUUCUUUCUUUCUUUCUUUCUUUCUUUCUUUCUUCCCUUCCUUUCCUUUUCCUUUCCUUUCCUUCCUUCUUUCCUCCUUUCGUUCUUUCUCUCUUUCUUUCAAGGUGGAAUUAUACAGCAGUGACCUGUCGGCUUGGACCUCUCAGCCAGGAAUGUGCUGAUUGCUAGAGAGACUCUGGCAACAGGACUGGCCCCCCACAUGAUGCCACAUGCAAAAAUCCUCCUGGACCGGCCCACCUCCGCAAACCUGUCAGUGAGAGAAAGAAAUUAUAGCAACACAACAUCCUUUGGUCAGUAAUGCUAGGAGCCAUCCUUCUGCAAACAGCUG